rnacentral:rRNA from 1 species
GGGGAAUUUUGGACAAUGGGCGCAAGCCUGAUCCAGCAAUGCCGCGUGCAGGAUGAAGGCCUUCGGGUUGUAAACUGCUUUUGUACGGAACGAAACGGUCCUUUCUAAUAUAAGGGGCUAAUGACGGUACCGUAAGAAUAAGCACCGGCUAACUACGUGCCAGCAGCCGCGGUAAUACGUAGGGUGCGAGCGUUAAUCGGAAUUACUGGGCGUAAAGCGUGCGCAGGCGGUUUUGUAAGACAGAUGUGAAAUCCCCGGGCUCAACCUGGGACCUGCAUUUGUGACUGCAAAGCUAGAGUACGGUAGAGGGGGAUGGAAUUCCGCGUGUAGCAGUGAAAUGCGUAGAUAUGCGGAGGAACACCGAUGGCGAAGGCAAUCCCCUGGACCUGUACUGACGCUCAUGCACGAAAGCGUGGGGAGCAAAC